CUUCUUUUGUAAGAGGUACUUAUGGGAGCUUUAUCCAGAUAGCAGCAUGUCUUGGACUUAUGUCAUCCCUGUUAAUUGGAAUCCCAGCCAAGGAAAUUGCUGGAUGAAGCACCUGGCUAACAUACUUUCUCUAUUGGUGGACUCAGUGGAUGGGGAAGAUGAGGAAUUCUGUGGAUUGUGAACUCUCUACAGUUGAGCAUAUUCAUUCAUGGAAGCUUCGCUAUGGUUA